rnacentral:tRNA from 1 species
GCUGAUUAGGUGUUUUGCAUAUCAAUUUUUCGUGUUGGGGGAGGUAGCUAGUUUUACUAAUCGGUA